rnacentral:rRNA from 1 species
GAGAUGUUGGGUUAAGUCCCGCAACGAGCGCAACCCUUGAUCUUAGUUGCCAUCAUUAAGUUGGGCACUCUAAGGUGACUGCCGGUGACAAACCGGAGGAAGGUGGGGAUGACGUCAAAUCAUCAUGCCCCUUAUGACCUGGGCUACACACGUGCUACAAUGGACGGUACAAAGAGCUGCAAGACCGCGAGGUGGAGCUAAUCUCAUAAAACCGUUCUCAGUUCGGAUUGUAGGCUGCAACUCGCCUACAUGAAGCUGGAAUCGCUAGUAAUCGCGGAUCAGCAUGCCGCG